rnacentral:misc_RNA from 1 species
GAUGAAGAACGUAGCAAAAUGCGAUAAGUAAUGUGAAUUGCAGAAUUCAGUGAAUCAUCGAAUCUUUGAACGCACAUUGCGCCCGCCAGUAUUCUGGCGGGCAUGCCUGUUCGAGCGUCAUUUCAACCCUCAAGCACAGCUUGGUGUUGGGACUCGCGUUAAUUCGCGUUCCCCAAAUUGAUUGGCGGUCACGUCGAGCUUCCAUAGCGUAGUAGUAAAACCCUCGUUACUGGUAAUCGUCGCGGCCACGCCGUUAAACCCCAACUUCUGAAUGUUGACCUCGGAUCAGGUAGGAAUACCCGCUGAUCUUAAGCAUAUCAAUAAGCGGAGGA